CCUGCACCUGCACCUGCACGACCCGGUUUUGACAAGGAGGGCUCCGAUUCUGCUCGGCUCAGGGAGGCAGCGCCAGAGAGGCCCCAUCGCCGGCCUGCAGCGCCCUAAAGAGCGCACCAGGAGAAGGGAAGGACCCGAGGACAGGCGACAGGGCGGAGGUCCGCGCGGCGUGACCUUGGCCGGCCCCUCCGCCACCUGGGGGCAGCCUCCCGGCCGGCGCACCGAGCCCAGCCCGGCCGGAUGCGGGACGUGCCAGGACAGCAGUUUCGGUUUCCCGAGAAGCUGACGUCCCCGCCGGCGCGGCGAGUCCCUAGGGCCGCCCGCCGCGCCCCGCCCGGCCCCCGCCCGGCAGCCGCCGCGGCCCGCGGGGUGGGGGGCGCCCGAGGGGCGUCGCCUCAGCAGCCGCGCUCAGGACGCCCACCCGCCAGCCCUUCCGCGGCUCUCACACAGGCGGGGCAGGACGGCCCGCGAGCCCCGCCGCGCCCCGGCGAGCACGGCCGGCCGGCCGGCCCGCGCAAGGCCCCGUCGCCCCGGCCUGCAGCGCCGCCACCGCUGCGCGCCUUCCCGCGCCGCCCCCCACACACCCUACCUUCCGCCAUGUCGGGCCGGCCCUGCUGCAGCCUCGCGAGAAGUGCGCCGCGCAAGCGGGGCGGCGCGGACCCGAGGCCGCGGGUCUCGCGAGAGUCUCGGGAAGCGGGAGGGCGGAGGGAGCGCGGGCGGGCGGCGGCCGGCGGGCGGAGGCCUCUCAGCUCCUCACACCUUCGAGGCGCGGGUGCGCGCCGGCAGCCAACCGUGGCCGCGGCCCAGACAGGGCCCUGGACGGGAUGCACACGGCGAGCGGACCCUGCUCCUUGGAGAAACCUGGCGGGGAGGCGGUCGGGAGCGUGACUCUGUGGUCUCGCGGCGCGUUGGCGACGGGCAGGGGCCGAGGCUGCGGGAGAGGAGGCGGGAACCGGGCCAGGGACUGGAUGCGGACCCCACCGCGGACGGAGUUCAGAAGACCCACUCCGCACCCCACCGUGGACCCCACUCCGCACCCCACCGCGGACCCCACCCCGCACCCCAACCGGACCCCAUACCGGACACCACCCGGACCCCACACUGGACCGCACCCCGGGCCCCACCCAAACACCACCACGGACCCCACCCCUGACCCCACGGUGGACCGCACCCCAGAUCCCACCCCAGACCCCACCGCAGACCUCACCCCGGACCGCACCGCGGACCUCACACCGGACCCCACACCGGACACCACUGCGGACCUUACCCCGGACCGCACCCCGGAUCCCACGCCAGACCCCACCGCGGACUGCACCUAGACCCCACACGGAACUGCACCCUGGAUCCCACCGUGGACCUCACCACGGACCGCACCCGGUACCCCACUGCGGACCCCACCGCGGACCACACCCCGGAUUCCACCCCGGACCCCACCGCGGACCACACCGAGGACCACACCUAGGAGCUCACUCUGGACCUCACCUCGGAUCUCGCCCCGGACCCUACCGCGGUCCCCACCGCGGACCCCAUCCCGGACCACACCGCGGAGCUCACUCUGGACCUCACCGCGGACCCCACCGCAGACCCCACCCCGGCCCCACCGCUGAGCUCACUCUGGACCCCACCGCGCACCACACCCAGGCCUCCGUGCGGACCCCACUGCGGACCCCGGGGCAGGGUCUUACUCGGGUAAACCCCUGGGACCAAGGACAAGCGUGCAGGCAGACGGACGGAAGAGGCGGAGAGACAUCAGGACGCCGCUCGAUGACAUCAGUUGGUGGCACGGGACCGGAGAGAGCCGAGAGAUCUGGGAGAGGCGUCGGGCCAGAGGGGCUGCCCCGCGUGUCUCCUGUGCGUGUGGACGGGCACCCUCCGAGCAGAACCCCGCCUGGCUGCAGGCGCUGAGAGUGCAGAUGACCGUGUUCCCCGGUGCCCAAGGUCUCCUGCCACACAGGCGGGGAGUGCGUUGCGAAGGCAACUCAGCACCACCCUGGCAUGUGACACGCAGCAGGUGCUCGGUAUGUUUGAGGAGUCGUUCCCGCCACGAGCUACACCAGCAGUCAAGGGGACGGGGUUCACAUCGGGCUCUGCAACUGACCUGCUGUGUUGAUCAGGGCAGGACCCUGCAAGCUGCCCUCUCAGGUCCUACAGCAGUUUCUACAGGGGGACAGGACAUCCGGAGGAUCACGAACCCCUGAGAACGUGAUGGAAACCAGGGAGAGCAGCACACAUGCAGGAAGAAACAAAUCUGUGCCCUUCCCGCCUGCUUGGACUAGAUGCCUGCAGCGAAUGAAAGCUCCCCUAAGGGGCCUAGUCAACUCAAGGGCUUGUCUGCCUCCUUGUCAUAACCAUGACCUGCCCUCACCAAGCCUUCUCUCAGAAGUGAGAGCCCUCCUCCUAGAGAUGCUGGUACCAGGACUCCAUCUCUGACCUGAUCUGGGCCCUUGUCUUCCAAGGGGACUCCUACUAGCUGGAAACCCCUGAGCUACAGAGCCUGUGAAACAAAGCAUCAGACAACUCCAGCAGCCAACAGGAUUCCCGGCAGCUCACAAGGUCAGGCAAGAUGUCUGAGCGCCUGAACAUGGUUCACUUUAGAUGUGACUCGGGCUUUGCUCAGAUAAGGAGAAACUCGGCUGUCCGGGACGGGGAACACGAGGUGUGUGAAGGGUCACCACAGACCGCCUAGGGCACAAGGGCACAGGCUCUUCCCGGGGAGGAGGUGCCAGGUCCUGGUAGAGAGGGGAAGGGAGGGAACCACUGGACCCGUGGGCCAGCGAAUUAGGUUCCACUACGGGCCUCAACACGUGCUCCCCCGGGUGACCUUGGGAAGGAAGAACCACCUGCUAGGGAGGGAGCAGCACCCAGCACAGAAGCGAGGAAGCAAGGCCCUGGAACCGAAUCCUCGCCGGAAACGUACUCGCUCUGCAGUCUUGCCACGCUGAUCCGAACCCGUUUUCCUCAUGAGAAACUACUACUUUGGAGGACCCUUGUGAGAAUGUGCCUUGCACCAGCCUGCCAUAAAGUGCAAGCUCCACCAGUAGGAAUACGGUUUCUGGCGCUCCUUGGGAACAAACGAGGUGUUGCUGGGCACACGGAGCGCUCUCCUGCUUCCUCCUAAUGGAUGCUGCCGGCAAGGGGGAAAUAUCAAGGGUCUUGCCUAGGAUUCUCUGAGCAGCUCCUAGGUCUAAGCUGUGUCUGCUGCCUUUUGUGAAAGCUUCUUCCUUCUCCUGAUUUAUUCCACCUGUGUGAACAGGAAGCGGAAUUCUUUCAUCAUGUCACUAUGGCUCAGUGGGGCAUGCAGACUAAAUGAGACCAAAAAAGAAAAGUUACCCCUACCUUGGCAGUCAUGUUGCACACAUCUGAAACGGAGCAACCAAAAGUAGCUUAUCCUGGAAAUAAUUUGCUCUGCAAACUGAACCCUGUUGGGGCUUCCAGUCCUCCAGAAAAAUUUUUUAUCAGUAAAAUUAAACUCUGAAAAUGACCCCGAACCUUCCCCGGACUGCUGUCAAGGACGAUUUUCUUCUUGUUUCUAACACAGCUCUCAUUAAGAGAUCUGGCUUCUUGUUCUUUUCUCAGGUCGCAAGGAGGCGGCCUUGGCGGCCACCGGCAUCAUUUAUCAACACAAACACUACCUCACACCGUAAAUCCACGUGAACUCCACGUGAGGGCACAGGGUAGAAAGGUAGACAGGGACACCCUUUUAAGGGCGGGAAAAAGUGCUCGGUCUUGCCCCUUUUAUGCUAACUUGCUAAGUGAGCCUGGUGCUACCUGGGGCCACGUUCGCCCAUCCGUGUGGAGGAGGGAAGGUGGUGGGCUUGAGGUGGUGCCCGUGGGCUCUUCCGGUCCACGCUCAGGUCUGGGUUCCCCGCCUUCUAGCUUAUGUCUGUGGUAGAGCCGCUUCAGGCUAAAGACAAAGUCCCCGAAACACGCUAACACAUGCUCAUUUCAUUCAAGGCCCUUCAUCAGCAGGUACCUGAUGCUGCUUGGCCCCGUACUGGAAAUCUUAAGACCAUCGUAGCAGGUCAGAAGUCAACUUCCCACCCUCUGGUUCCUUCUUUAAAUGAAGUUUUAAAAGUCCUUUAUCAAGAUUCCCUUGUGGACCUUUUGGUAUCAUGUGCUGUUUCGAAAGAAUCCCACAACUUGCUUUUGAGACCUGCAUCCUAAAACCAAAAUAGCUCAUGAUACAGCCUCUAAGUGAUCAUUUAUUGAUUUACACAGCAUCCACCACACGAUGGAGGUGCUUUACAAUACAGCAAACAUCACAACAGAACUCACAUAGUUAAAUACAAUCAACAAGUUACAGAACUAAAAAAAAAAAAAAAAAAAACAACAACAACAAAAAACUGGAAUGACGCAACAUUAUGUCAGAUUUCAGAGAUGCUGAGAAGUGGCAGUAAGUACAAAGAAGGCAAUUCCACCAACUGGAGACCAGACGGGAAAAAAUAGAUCCACAAGCACCACAACCCCAAGUGUGCAGAUUCGUAGAGGGUGGUGAGCAUAUGAAAUAAAAUUUCACAACCGAGAAUGAAGGCCAUUAAGGAUACCAGGACACCCACGUGAUCAAAGAACGAGUGGAAUACCCUCACGGAGAGAGUGCCUCGUAAUGACAAGGGAACCAAUCUCUCGUGGAUUUUAAACUCACAGAAGGAGGCCAGAAAGCCACUGAGAUCAUACAUCCCGUAUGAGCACAGACUGAAAUCUGGAAGCCUUUACCAGAACUUGGAAUCAAUUUAGGAAAUAGCCAACAGUCCUAAAACCCGUAAGACUGUGUAGAUGUUGUUGACAGUUGGCACAGAGUUAGGGAGAAAAAUCCUUUUCCUAGAACAGAGAGGACUCACCUCACACUAGUGAUGAGGCACUGGUGGGGCAAAAGCCACCUGGAUCAGUGUCACCUGAGAGUGGUUUAAUAUCAAAUAUGGAGGCGCUAAGUUCACACUGUCAGAUGAACACAGGGAAAGGCACAGGUGAUGCCCCUGGCAGAGAAGAAGUCACACACAACCCUCCCCGCCCCCCCCCCAGGCCUGUGUGUCCACAUGCAGCACGCCAGGGCGCCAGGUGGAAAAGAGCGGGAAGGGAGGGGCCCUCGUUCCUGGCUCCCCCUUUGACUCCCCAGGAUCUAGCCCCAAAACACACAUGGUUACUCCAAGGUACCUGCAUUUAAGUGGCACUUAAAGUUCAGUAAGAGUUGUCCCUGAGUUACUAGGUCAUUUGCCGCUCCCUGAAGAGUCAAGUCCCAGGUUUUAACUUGACAGAUCACUAGCAGAAUCACAGCAACGGGAGAGCAAAGUUCAGACUCCAUUCUGCCACAAGCAGCCACCAUGUGGACAGUUUCUGAUGUAAGAGUAAGAGGGACUGCAUUCAAAUCCCAGGCGCGUGUGCACUACCAGCACUUUGGGGCAACAAGUUUUAGAAUUUUGGCGGGGGGGGGGGGGGGGGGGAGUCCCAAAUGAAGUUCUCGAAGAAAACUGGCUGCAGUAAAUCAAAUCAAACAAUUUUCACACUCAGCAAUUACACAUGUAUGGGAUUUUAUAAUGUUUCAGAGUGGGGAACAGACAGGUGUUUAGAAAAAUCACUCUCUACUGUGUCUACAUCCUCAACCAUUUUACUUCUGCUUCAGAAAGGACCUGCAGAGUCCACAGAGGAUGGGGCUACUCAUAGGGAUCCCUUCACUCUCUGCCAAAGCGUCUCUCCAAGCCCCACAGAGCAGAGACGCACCAAUUCUCACAGAAUUGUGUCCCAUCUGGUACCGUCUCGAGUUCUGUCUCUUACAGGCCAACUACUACUUCCCAAUCCCAACCUCACACCCAACAUAGAGGAACCUGGGCCUGCCGUUAACACUGCACACGUUCACUUCAUCAUUUCCUGAAGCUGUUUUAGAAAACAUGAUAUGAAAUAUGCUUAUGCUCAAACAUUAAUAAAAUCCAAGUGCACUAUGUCAGUGACAGAAUCUAUAUGUCAAACAGCAAAGCAUUCACACCCCUGUAGUGCUUUGAGAUCCACAUAAGAACCUAGAUAGAGCCCAAUACAUCCACUGCCACGGCCAUGGGAUUUUCAAGUAUAAGUCUGUUUGCAUAAGGAAUCAACCUGAGAUUUUUCUAAACUGCAUUUCUCUGGCAUUCAGUAUUAUAACCUUCAUUCAAUACAAUAAAAGCCAACAACUUGACAAUUAUUGGAAAAAAAUUGUAUUUUGGAAGAACUCACUACAUAAGGUGACAGAAUUCCAAAAUCAAAUUACAUGAAAAUAUACAUCGCAAUUUCUUUGUACAAUAAGUGA